CAUGCAGUCGACGAUGAACCACUUCGGUGGGGAUUAGUGGCGAACGGGUGAGUAACACGUGGGCAAUCUGCCCUUCACUCUGGGACAAGCCCUGGAAACGGGGUCUAAUACCGGAUAUGAGCCUGGGAGGCAUCUCCCGGGUUGUAAAGCUCCGGCGGUGAAGGAUGAGCCCGCGGCCUAUCAGCUUGUUGGUGAGGUAAUGGCUCACCAAGGCGACGACGGGUAGCCGGCCUGAGAGGGCGACCGGCCACACUGGGACUGAGACACGGCCCAGACUCCUACGGGAGGCAGCAGUGGGGAAUAUUGCACAAUGGGCGAAAGCCUGAUGCAGCGACGCCGCGUGAGGGAUGACGGCCUUCGGGUUGUAAACCUCUUUCAGCAGGGAAGAAGCGAGAGUGACGGUACCUGCAGAAGAAGCGCCGGCUAACUACGUGCCAGCAGCCGCGGUAAUACGUAGGGCGCAAGCGUUGUCCGGAAUUAUUGGGCGUAAAGAGCUCGUAGGCGGCUUGUCGCGUCGAUUGUGAAAGCCCGGGGCUUAACUCCGGGUCUGCAGUCGAUACGGGCUAGCUAGAGUGUGGUAGGGGAGAUCGGAAUUCCUGGUGUAGCGGUGAAAUGCGCAGAUAUCAGGAGGAACACCGGUGGCGAAGGCGGAUCUCUGGGCCAUUACUGACGCUGAGGAGCGAAAGCGUGGGGAGCGAACAGGAUUAGAUACCCUGGUAGUCCACGCCGUAAACGGUGGGAACUAGGUGUUGGCGACAUUCCACGUCGUCGGUGCCGCAGCUAACGCAUUAAGUUCCCCGCCUGGGGAGUACGGCCGCAAAGCUAAAACUCAAAGGAUUUGACGGGGCCCGCACAAGCGGCGGAGCAUGUGGCUUAAUUCGACGCAACGCGAAGAACCCUUACCAAAGGCUUGACAUACACC
rnacentral:rRNA from 1 species